GACGAACGCUGGCGGCGCGCCUAACACAUGCAAGUCGAGCGAGAACCGGAGCUUCGGCUUCGGGGACAGCGGCGAACGGGUGAGUAACACGUGGAUAACCUGCCCUCGGCACCGGGAUAGCCCGGGGAAACCCGGAUUAAUGCCGGAUGGCCCCACAUCCCUGCGGGGAACGUGGGAAAAGGUAGCUUCGGCCUCUGGCCGAGGAUGGGUCCGCGGUGGAUUAGCUUGUUGGUGGGGUAAUGGCCCACCAAGGCGACGAUCCAUAGCUGGUCUGAGAGGACGAUCAGCCACACUGGGACUGAGACACGGCCCAGACUCCUACGGGAGGCAGCAGUGGGGAAUCUUGCGCAAUGGGCGAAAGCCUGACGCAGCGACGCCGCGUGCGGGAAGAAGGCCCUAGGGUUGUAAACCGCUUUCAGGAGGGACGAAGCCACUCGGGUGAACAGCCCAGAGGGUGACGGUACCUCCAGAAGAAGCCCCGGCUAACUACGUGCCAGCCGCCGCAGUAAAAC
rnacentral:rRNA from 1 species